CAGCAGCCGCGGUAACACGUAGGGUGCAAGCGUUAAUCGGAGUUACUGGGCGUAAAGCGUGCGCAGGCGGUUCUAUAAGACAGAUGUGAAAUCCCCGGGCUCAACCUGGGAACUGCGUUUGUGACUGUAGAGCUGGAGUGCGGCAGAGGGGGAUGGAAUUCCGCGUGUAGCAGUGAAAUGCGUAGAUAUGCGGAGGAACACCGAUGGCGAAGGCAAUCCCCUGGGCCUGCACUGACGCUCAUGCACGAAAGCGUGGGGAGCAAACAGGAUUAGAUACCCGCGUAGUCCCUGUCUCUUAUAC
rnacentral:rRNA from 1 species